rnacentral:rRNA from 1 species
UCUGGGACAAGCCCUGGAAACGGGGUCUAAUACCGGAUGACACUUUCUCUCGCAUGGGAGAAGGUUGAAAGCUCCGGCGGUGCAGGAUGAGCCCGCGGCCUAUCAGCUUGUUGGUGAGGUAGAAGCUCACCAAGGCGACGACGGGUAGCCGGCCUGAGAGGGCGACCGGCCACACUGGGACUGAGACACGGCCCAGACUCCUACGGGAGGCAGCAGUGGGGAAUAUUGCACAAUGGGCGAAAGCCUGAUGCAGCGACGCCGCGUGAGGGAUGACGGCCUUCGGGUUGUAAACCUCUUUCAGCAGGGAAGAAGCGAAAGUGACGGUACCUGCAGAAGAAGCGCCGGCUAACUACGUGCCAGCAGCCGCGGUAAUACGUAGGGCGCAAGCGUUGUCCGGAAUUAUUGGGCGUAAAGAGCUCGUAGGCGGCUUGUCACGUCGGUUGUGAAAGCCCGGGGCUUAACCCCGGGUCUGCAGUCGAUACGGGCAGGCUAGAGUGUGGUAGGGGAGAUCGGAAUUCCUGGUGUAGCGGUGAAAUGCGCAGAUAUCAGGAGGAACACCGGUGGCGAAGGCGGAUCUCUGGGCCAUUACUGACGCUGAGGAGCGAAAGCGUGGGGAGCGAACAGGAUUAGAUACCCUGGUAGUCCACGCCGUAAACGGUGGGAACUAGGUGUUGGCGACAUUCCACGUCGUCGGUGCCGCAGCUAACGCAUUAAGUUCCCCGCCUGG